rnacentral:misc_RNA from 1 species
CAAAUCGCUUGUCUAACUUG